rnacentral:rRNA from 1 species
UACGAAGGGGGCUAGCGUUGCUCGGAAUCACAGGGCGUAAAGGGUGCGUAGGCGGGUCUUUAAGUCAGGGGUGAAAUCCUGGAGCUCAACUCCAGAACUGCCUUUGAUACUGAAGAUCUUGAGUGCGGGAGAGGUGAGUGGAACUGCGAGUGUAGAGGUGAAAUUCGUAGAUAUUCGCAAGAACACCAGUGGCGAAGGCGGCUCACUGGCCCGAUACUGACGCUGAGGCACGAAAGCGUGGGGAGCAAACAGG